AUGACUUUCGAGAAGCGGAUCCUGUGUUCUGCCUUCCACCCAGGACAACGGAAUGGAUCCCAGCCUGCGACCCAAAGCAAUGACGUCGUAAAAGAGGCAAACGAAGCAGUCUUCUGGUCAGGCUCCGGAGACGGGCACAUCGCGCACAACUCCCAUAUACCCCCCCCCCCCCAAGCAGACAAAUCGAUGGCCCUGAACAAACUUCAUUUGACUCUUUGCAAACUGGAAACCACAUAUCCCGAGGCUGCAUUCAUUGUAGCUGGGGAUUUUAACAAGGCUAAUCUGAAAACAAGACUCCCUAAAUUGUAUCAGCAUAUGGAUUGCGCAACCAGGGCUGGUAAAACCUUGGAUCAUUGCUAUUCUAACUUCCGCGACGCAUAUAAGGCCCUCCCCCGCAGUCCUUUAAGAAAAACUGAUCACGACUCAUUUUUGAUGCUCCCUGCCUACAGAAAGAAGCUAAAACAAGAAGCUCCCGCGCUCAGGUCCGUUCAACGCUGGUCUGACCAAUCUGAUUCCACGCUUCAAGACUGCUUUGAAGACCUGGACUGGGAUAUGUUCCGCAUUGCUUUCAACAACAACAUUGACAAAUACGCUGAUUCGGUGAGCGACUUCAUUAGAAAGUGCAUUGACGAUGUCGUUCCCAUAGCAACAAUUAAAACAUUCCCAAACCAGAAACCGUGGAUUGAUGGCAGCAUUCUCGUGAAACGGAAAGCACAAACCACUGCUUUUAACCAGGGCAAGGUGACCGGAAACAUGACCGAAUACAAACAGUGUAGCUAUUCCCUCCGCAAGGCAAUCAAACAAGCUGAGCGUCAGCAUAGAGACAAAGUAGAGUCACAAUUCAAAUGCUCAGACACAAGAGGUAUGUGGCAGGGUCUACAGUCAAUCACGGAUUACAAAAAGAAAACCAGACCUGUCACGGACCAGGAUGUCUUGCUCCCAGGAAGACAAAAUAACUUCUUUGCCCGCUUUGAGGACAAUACAGUGCCACUGACACGGCCCGCUACCAAAACCUGCGGACUCUCCUUCACUGCAACCGACGUGAGUAAAACAUUUAAACGUGUUAACCCUCGCAAGGCUGCUGUCCCAGACGGCAUCCCCAGCUGA
rnacentral:lncRNA from 13 species